rnacentral:rRNA from 1 species
UUCAGGCCUAACACAUGCAAGUCGAACGUGAAGCUGGAGCUUGCUCCAGUGGAAAGUGGCAGACGGGUGAGUAACGCGUGGGAAUUUACCCAGUGGUUCGGAAUAACUUCGGGAAACCGGAGCUAAUACCGAAUACGCCCUCCGGGGGAAAGAUUUAUCGCCAUUGGAUGAGCCCGCGUCGGAUUAGCUUGUUGGUGGGGUAAAAGCCUACCAAGGCGACGAUCCGUAGCUGGUCUGAGAGGAUGAUCAGCCACACUGGGACUGAGACACGGCCCAGACUCCUACGGGAGGCAGCAGUGGGGAAUAUUGCACAAUGGGCGCAAGCCUGAUGCAGCCAUGCCGCGUGAGUGAAGAAGGCCUUAGGGUUGUAAAACUCUUUCACCGGUGAAGAUAAUGACGGUAGCCGGAGAAGAAGCCCCGGCCAACUCCGUGCCAGCAGCCGCGGUAAUACGGAGGGGGCUAGCGUUGUUCGGAAUUACUGGGCGUAAAGCGCGCGUAGGCGGGCUGGUCAGUUGGGGGUGAAAUCCCGGGGCUUAACCUCGGAACUGCCCUCAAUACUACCAGUCUAGAGAUCGAGAGAGGUAAGUGGAAUUCCUAGUGUAGAGGUGAAAUUCGUAGAUAUUAGGAAGAACACCAGUGGCGAAGGCGGC